UGAAAGCAGGCAGUCGUGAGUUCGAUCCCCGGUACCGAUAAAAAGAAAAAAGACAAAAAAAAAAAAAAAAAGAUUUCACUACUACCAAGGCGUUCCAUAAAUGCAAUCAAUUUUCCAACAACGCUUUUUUCCCCCAGAAACAGAAAUAUCUGUUCUGUUUACAAGGAACUGAUGGCAUUGACUCUGAAGAGUAUGGAAAAAUCCAGAGUUCCAGGCUGACAGAGGAAACAGUCCAGGGCCCAGGGUCACAUCCACACUGGUGGGCCUCUGCCCAUAUCCCUCAGCAUUCACAGUUCCCAUAUCUUCUCUUCGGGCUUCCAAUCACAACUACCCACAAUUCGAAGAGUUCCUUUGACCAGCAGAGAGCCUACUUGAGCUCUUGUGGGCCAUUCAGGAAGAACCAGAGUUAAUACCUCCUCCCAGUGAGGCUCACCCAGUGACUGAGCACAGGUGGGUUAAUGCCAAUUCCUUCACUCACAAGUAUGGUGACUCAGAAAAAAUUCAGUUCACUGUUUUCUACUUUACUGUGGUGGGAUUGAGCUCCUAGUGCCCUGUUCCACCAUACACACACAUUUCUUUCUUUCCUCCCCUUUCAUUCCUUGCUUUUCCAGUCCAGUACCAGGGCUUUCUGGGCUCAUCUUCCCAGUGAACUACUUCCCACCCGUUUGUUGUCUUAGCUUCUGCCUUGGAGGAAACCAACCUAAGAACUGAUGAAAAGGACAUAGCACACACCUAAAUGAAGACAGUGGUGCCUGGCACAGAGCACAGAAAAUUUCGGAAGAUGGAGUGAAGCCCAGCCAGUGUUGCAGGUCUGUAUCAAGGAUCUGCACUGGGAAGACCCAAAGGUCAGUGGUGGAAGCUAGAAAGUCUGCAUCAGGGAUCUGCACUGGAGCCAGGAAUUGAUGCUCAAGCUUGGCUAAGACCUCCAGAAAAAAGAGUGAUAAUCACCACCAAGCCUGGCCAUCUGCAUAAUUCAGGUAAAAGUCAAUCUUUGGUGUUCUAGAUUGUUCGAGAGAACUAAGUUAUCUAGCUGGCUUGUACAGCCCUAGUCUGAGUUCUUGUUCUUAAACACCACUUUGCCUUCAUUUAAGCUUGUAAUAUACCCCGCAGAUAGACAUUUUAGGAUAUACAUUUUUAAUUGCAGACAGCAAAGUCAGAAUGAGGCGUGUGUGUGUGUGUGUGUGUGUGUGUGUGUGUGUGUGUGUGUUAGGUGGUGGAUGCACUAUUGCAGGUGAUACUAAUUUGCAGUUUCCCUUCUCAGGCAUAAUCCUGUUUUAUGUCUACCACUUUCUAUGACAGGAGAAAAAAACAAGAAUUUAGGAAGUCUUGGGUUUUUCUGUUUUCAUAUCUGUCUUAUCCCUGGAUAGCCCUUCUCCCAGUUAGAUGAUGAUGAUAAUUUAAGAAGGUAGAGAUAAUUUAUCAAAUAGCAGAGAGUUUACUUAGAUAAGAAAUGUCUUACCAGAUCUUGAUGGCUGAGAUAAUGUCUCAUAAAAACUUUGGUAGAAUAACUGAUAUUAGCCAAUCUAGGAAGCUUAUUUAAAUUGAGCAGGGAUGGGGUGACUUUGAAAAUGAUUUCCACUUGAUCUAAAAAUCAGGCAGGAAACUGAAAUUCUUAUGGAUUUGAGAGAAAAAAGCAGACUAUCUGAGGUCAGCACGAUACUGUUAAUGCUCCAGUUGGAAAAGUUGGAAAGUUAUGCAGUUUUUACUUAGCUUCAUCUUGUUCUCUGUAAUUGCUUCCUUUCAACCAUAAAGUUGUUUAGUGUAAGAGAGAUAUUCCAAGGCAUCUCUUUAUAUUCACUGCUGCAAGAUCCCGUUUUAGCAUAAUUACAGUCUUGGAGUUGAAGAGACGGCUCACUCUAGCUAGCUCUGCAGCUGGCUUUCUCAGAUGACAAUAGGAAGCUCACCAGCUUAGCAGCGUCCAAGGCUGUGAGCCAGGGGAGGCCUUCAUGCUGAAAUUUUGCCCUUGCUUUGUCCCUAUUUCCUUCAUGAGAAUGAGGAAAUGAUUUAGAAUUUUUAAAGAAGGAAAUUUUGCUUUUUCUUUGUCUCUUAGGGCAUUUAAAUUGACAUGUGAUGCUCCAAAUACAGAUUUCAGAAUCUCAAAUCAGAGACUACAUCUUUGUGUCUCAAACUGAUGCUACUGAGCAAAAACCGAAACGUAAUAAAAAAAACAAAGGAAAUAAAGAAAAAACAAAAGCA